AUCCUAAAGGACUAAUCACUAAUGUAUCAAAAUUUAUUUCCCUGACCUCCUGUCCUAGCGGACUUGUUACUAGCACCUCAAAGUCCAUUUUUGUACAUGGAACAGCAAUGCAAUCAAUGAUGCUAGCACUCACAUAAGAAUGGGUAGAACCCGGAUCAAAUAACACAAACACAUCUUGGUUAAAAGUUGAGAAGGUACCAGCCACAACAUCAGAUGUCUCGGCCUCUUCCCUCUGUCUCAUUGCAUACAUUCUGAUUGGAGCACUGUCUUGCUCUGAUUGUUUCACUGUGCCUUGGCUGCCUGCUGGGUUACCUCUACCCCUGCCUCUACCUCUGCUGGGUGGUUGUGAACUUCUGGUAACAGGGCUCUGAACUGACCCUUCUGCAGUAAUAGGAGGUGGUCCAACUCUGCGACUACUGGUGCAGUCCUUGGCAAAGUGUCCCAUGCCUCCACAGUUAUAACAGGCUCCAAUAGCCUUAUAGCAUAUCCCACCAUGAUAUCUUCCACAAUUUUCACAUUGGCGGGAAUGGUAGGAACCUCCGGUACUAUGCUGACCAGAUAAAGGAGGUUUAUGUCCUGAAUGUCCUCCCCUACCAGACUUCUUGCCACCUCUGUUGUGUCCCUCAUAGUUCUUCCUCUUUCCAGUAGGACCACUGGAACUCUGUUCUACUGACUUUCCCUCUUCAUCUGUCUUCUCUGAUCUCUUUUUCUCAGGAGUAGUCUCAAACUCAACUCUUUCUAACUCUAGGGCUUGAGAAACAAGUUCAGAGAAGUUAGUGUGUUUGAAGCCCAGCACUUGUACUCUGAUACUGGGCUUCAAGCCAGUUACAAACCUCUUGCAUCUUUCCCUGCUGGUAGAGAGUAGACUCACUGCAUAAUGGCUAAGGCGAGAAAAUUCUCUUUCAUACUCAGCCACUGAUCUGCCCCCCUGUUUCAAACUUAGGAAUUCUUGUAACUUCUGGUCUACAUAAGCAUCAGGGACAUAUUUCUGCCUGAAUUCCCUAAGGAAGUCAUUCCAUGUUAGCACUGCAGGCUCUACCAGACUGUGGGGAAUGGUUUUCCACCAGUCAUAAGCAUCCCCCUGUAGUAAGGACACUGAGUAUUCAAAUCUGAGCUCCUCUGUGCAAUGCAGUUUCUUGAAUACCCUAUCCAUCCUCUCUAACCACUGUUCAGCCUCUAGAGGAUCUGCUGUCCCCUUGAACUCUGUAGCCCCAUAUUUCAUCAAUUUAUCAUAUUGCCUCGUAGGAGACUGUGGUUGUACCACUGGUGUCUGUAUUGGGACUUGAGUAGGCACAUUACCAGCCAUUUGUUGGAACAUUGCAGCCAUCUGCUGAGCGAACUGAGCAGGAAACUGCGGUACU
rnacentral:misc_RNA from 1 species